rnacentral:lncRNA from 1 species
GGUAUAAUGAAGAAUCUUGAGGUCAUCCUGGAUUACCAAAGUGGGCCCUAAAUCCAGUGGCAGAAGACACAGACACAGAGAGGAGACCAGGUGAAGACAAAAGAAGAGGCUGGAGUGAUGCGACCAUCAGAGAGUGAAAAUACUCAGUUACCUCUUGGUUUAUGAGGCAAUGAAGCAUUCCAGCACAUAAAUAUUGACGCUGAGACCCAUGGGAUGUAGGAGUGCUGAGCACAUUUGCAAGACAUAAAGACAGAAGUGUGUGUGGUAUCUAGAUGAGAUGCAUGGUGAUGACUGGAGACUGGGCGUGAUGAAUGACUUAGGAAACCUCUGGAGGGUGCCUGCUUUGUGGCCAU